CCCUGUGCCUCUCUAGUGCUCCCCUCGCACCUCGGCUGCUCCGUCUUCCCCCCCACCCCUCACCCCAAAAUCAUCUUCGUGCCUCGUGGAUCCAGCCGCAGCCGGUGCCGGUGCCUCCGUCUCUCCGUGGAGCCAUCGCCGCCUACGCGUUGAUCCCGUGGUCAACACCGCUUGUUUUCCCUCAUGCUCGCGGGGACCGGCCGAUGUUGUCGUCGUCGCUUGCCCAUUGAGCUUGCAAAGCUAACCAGCGGCAUUGCCACCCCAUGGAUCCAGUGAUGAGUGCCUGAUUUUUCCGCUUGUAUCGACCUCGUCGAGCCAACUAGUGCUGCUGGAUUUAAUUUUUUUUUACUUUGCUUGAUUCACUCUGGCUUAGAUUUGUGUACUUUGCUUGCUUCACUCUGGUUUAGAUCCGUUUUGGGGGAUUUUUUUUUUCUGAAGAGGUGAAUGAAUUGCCUCUCCAUAAAAUUAAUUUGUUGAUUUGUUUAGGUUUGAUCUCACACAAUGUGCUGUGGUUUGGGAUUGGACAGAGGAGGAAGGUGGGUAUUGGGGUUGAUGUAGGUCCAAUUUAGCAGCGAAUCAUCAAGUUGAACAUGCGCUCCAUACCAUGCACUCCAUUGCAAGUUAAUUGCGAAAUUUUUUAAUGGCUGCUGCAUCUUCUCAGUAUAGGUGUGCGAAGAGUUUAUUGCUGGUAGGUUUUGGUUGUGUGAACAUGAACCACUUGAAAGUUUGUGAAGAAGGUUUUUUUUCUGGGAUGUGAAAGUGACACAUACGAAAGAGUACUAGUUGGGCAUGUGUUUGAUUUGCUUUGCUUCUAGCUAGGCUCCUGGAUCUAUAUGAUCAUGUGCAAUCAUACAGGCCAAUAUCCUUUGUGCCAAUUCUCUAGAGAAAUCGGUCUGCAGUAGCAAGAGAUACAAGAGAGGUGGGACUUCACUCCCCUAGCUAUAUGUGAUCCUCAUGCUUGUUCUAUGUAUAAUUGAAUGUGUGUCAAUUCUUUCAUAUUGUUCCCCGAAAGGCUUUGGCCCCACUAACAUUUUUGGCAACAAGUGGAUUGCCCUAGUCCAGUUUGAUGGCUUAGAUGAUUCAGAGUAAGAAGAGUUGAAGAAAUCUAGUUUUCACAAGGAGAGGUACCAGUGUCUCCCAAUGAACCAUGGCUCUUUCGUGAGAUUGAGCUAUGCUCUGAAUAUGCCAUUUAUCUGUGUAAUUCAGGUUACACUCUUCAAUUUUGUGUUGGUUUUGGUUACAUACUUGAUUUUCAGCAAACUGGACAUGGAAAAUUCAGUGUUGCGUUCAAAGUUCUGAAGAGGACGGAUGGCUGCUUAUAUUGUGUAAAAAUGCAUCAGGCAACUGCAUAAUGACAGGGAAAGCUAGUCUUGCAGCAGUCGUUCAAAGUUCUGAAUGUGCAUGAAUUGUAGAAAGCAUGUGUACUUUGGGUGAGUGUUUGUCAUGUGAAAGUAUCUCAAUUACAUGGCAUGCUGAUGCUUAAUUAAAUAAUUGAUUAUGCAUCAGAAAUUGAUCAUGCAUGCGUUGUGUGCUUGUUUCUCUGUGGAUUCUUAUGGCACAAGCUGCUGCAAGAUUAGCACUUUAAGUAACAGAAUUCUGCACAUUAUUUUUGUCUGCGAAAA